AUCCUUGCGCUUGGGGCAAUGACGCGCCUAAUGAGGUCUUAACCGAGGCACGUCUAUUGCUGGUUGAAAACUAUUUCCAAACCCCCUCCUAGGCCUAAGCUUGUCUUGGGCCUUCGAGAAUUUAUGGAAGAGUUGCCUUUAGGGUAAAGCU
rnacentral:snRNA from 1 species